rnacentral:lncRNA from 1 species
GGAUCUCGAUUGAAUGAAUGCGCAUGACUCGUACUCGCUUGUACCACCUUGGUAGCUGCGAAUGAGUCAACCACGGAAAAGAGAGUUUCAGUUUCAGAGAGAUCGGACAGGAGAAAGAGUAAGAGUAAAUCAGUAGAUUAGGUACCUUCAGUCGAGGAUUUAUAAUUACACAUAUCAGCUCAACCAGUUGGAAUAUCCCUUGAUCUCGUAUCCGUUGGUCAAGAUUAGGAAA